GAAAUAUAAAGAUUAUAAUUAAGCUUCUAACUUAAAUUUUUAGUGGUUGAAUUCCAUUAAUAUUUCU
rnacentral:tRNA from 1 species